AUACUUAACCUGGCAGGGGAGAAACCAUAAUUACAAAGGUGGUUUUUCCCAGGGCAAGGCUCACUCAUUCUACGCCAGAUGUGUUGACCCCUGAGAUUUCUCCAGAUGUGUGAAACUCGACUGCAUAAUUUGUGGUAGUGGGGAGCUGCGUUCAUGCUCUCCCCUA
rfam:Pteropus alecto contig110495, whole genome shotgun sequence.